rnacentral:rRNA from 1 species
GAUGAACGCUGACAGAAUGCUUAACACAUGCAAGUCAUUGGCGAAGCUGCGCUUGCGCAGUCUAGCCAAGGCGGACGGGUGAGUAACGCGUAAGGAACUUGCCCUGCAGACAGGGAUAACAGACGGAAACGACUGAUAACACCUGGUAUUGUCAGGCUGGCGCAUGCCGGCCUGAUGAAAGGAGACGCUGCAGGAGAGCCUUGCGUCCUAUUAGCUAGUUGGUGGGGUAACGGCCCACCAAGGCGAUGAUAGGUAGCCGGCCUGAGAGGGUGAACGGCCACAAGGGGACUGAGAUACGGCCGUUACCCAUACGGGAGGCAGCAGUGGGGAAUAUUGGACAAGGGGGGCAACCCUGAUCCAGCAAUUCUGUGUGCACGAAGAAGGUUUUCGGAUUGUAAAGUGCUUUCAGCAGGGAAGAAGAAAGUGACGGUACCUGCAGAAGAAGCGACGGCUAACUACGUG